rfam:Ictidomys tridecemlineatus contig094807, whole genome shotgun sequence.
GGGGCUGUGGCUCAGUGAUAGAGCACUUGCCUGGCAUGUGUGAGGCCCUAAGUUCGAUCCUUAGCAGCACAU